rnacentral:misc_RNA from 1 species
GCGCGCAUGAGGGAUAAUUUCGGGGAAUAUCUUGUUCUUUUCUUCAACGGUAGCAGUUUCAAGUUUCUGUUGAAUAAAACGACUCCCAUACUGAUCCGUACUGAAUUCAACAACAUGAUCAACAAUGUCAGAGAGUUCAAAAGACCUGGAUUUGUUGUUCUUGAACUCAUCUAAUAACGAUGACACAUAUAUUCUUUCCAUGUUGUUGCCAACAUCAGAGUUCCAUGACCCAAUGGAUCCUCCCAUUGAG